CCCCACCCCAAGGUCACGGGGACAACCAACAUGCAGCACCCAGCACUGGGCAAAUGAGACCCGAAGUCAUUUAUUCAUCACAUGAACCCAGAGUCUGGGAGCAGGACCUCACAGGCCCCUUGGGCCACACAGGCGAUGCACUUGGGGACAGAGUGACCACAGGGGCUGCGGGAGGUGCUCCCCUCGCCUGGCCAUGUGUGGCCGGCAGCUGCGAGGGACAGAUGACCUUCUCUUGGAAGAUCACAAAAAUCACUAAGAUGAGAAGCUGUAGGAUUUACUUUUAAUUGCAUCAAAAAAGCAAAGCCUAUUGCAAUGUGUUUACGGUGUUACUUUUUUAUAACAAAGAAAACAGAACUGAAACAACAGGACCCAAAUGGAGUCACUGGUGCCGAGUCCCCUGUCAGCACUUAACACCCAAUCAGACUGCAGGUUUGGCUUCUUCCACUCACCGUGAUUGCCUGGUCAGCACCAGUGAGAUAAUCCGCCGGACAGACCCGCUUUCCCCUCAAAGGAAGGGGGCCUUGCCCGAAACAAUCCAGCUGUUGCUAGAAACUUUUUUCCCCAUCCCCUUCUGCCUAUAAAAGCUGUUACAUAGCUCCUUGGAGCUCCUUUCCAUCUGCUAAGACGGGAGGUCGCCUGAUUCGUGAAUCAUUAAAUAAAGCCAAUUACGUAUUCAAAUGUUCUCAGAUGAAUUUC